rnacentral:rRNA from 1 species
CCUACGGGUGGCUGCAGUGAGGAAUAUUGGUCAAUGGACGAGAGUCUGAACCAGCCAAGUCGCGUGAAGGAUGACUGCCCUAUGGAUUGUAAACUUCUUUUGUAUGGGAGUAAAAUGUUCCACGUGUGGGGUUUUGUAUGUACCCUAUGAAUAAGGAUCGGCUAACUCCGUGCCAGCAGCCGCGGUAAUACGGAGGAUCCGAGCGUUAUCCGGAUUUAUUGGGUUUAAAGGGAGCGUAGGUGGAGUGUUAAGUCAGGUGUGAAAGUUUGCGGCUCAACCGUAAAAGUGCAGUUGAAACUGGCAGUCUUGAGUGCAGUAGAGGUGGGCGGAAUGCGUGGUGUAGCGGUGAAAUGCUUAGAUAUCACGAAGAACUCCGAUUGCGAAGGCAGCUCACUGGACUGCAACUGACACUGAGGCUCGAAAGUGUGGGUAUCAAACAGGAUUAGAUACCCGAGUAGUC